rnacentral:rRNA from 1 species
GACGAACGCUGGCGGCGUGCUUAACACAUGCAAGUCGAGCGGGUAAGGCCCUUCGGGGUACGACGAGCGGCGAACGGGUGAGUAACACGUGGGUGACCUGCCCUCAGCUCUGGGAUAAGCCUGGGAAACCGGGUCUAAUACCGGAUACGACGCAUCGGUGCAUGCCGUUGCGUGGAAAGUUUUUCGGCUGGGGAUGGGCCCGCGGCCUAUCAGCUUGUUGGGUGGGGUGAUGGCUUACCAAGGCGGNGACGGGUAGCCGGCCUGAGAGGGCGACCGGCCACACUGGGACUGAGACACGGCCCAGACUCCUACGGGAGGCAGCAGUGGGGAAUAUUGCGCAAUGGGCGGAAGCCUG